UUAAAAAGUUAAAAUAAAAUUAAAGGACGAGAAGACCCUAUAGAUCUUUAUUUUUGUUAUUUAUAAAUUAAAAAGAAUUUUAAAAUUUAUAAUUUAAUAAAAAAUUUUAUUGGGGUGAUAUUAAAAUUUAAAAAACUUUUAAAAUUUAUUAACAUAAAUAUAUGAAUAAAUGAUCCAGUUUUAUUGAUUAAAAAUUUAAGUUACCUUAGGGAUAACAGCGUAAUUUUUUUUUAGAGUUCAUAUCGACAAAAAAGAUUGCGACCUCGAUGUUGGAUUAAGAGUUAUUUUUAGGUGUAGAAGUUUAAAGUUUAGGUCUGUUCGACCUUUGAAUUC
rnacentral:rRNA from 1 species